UACGAAGGGGGCUAGCGUUGCUCGGAAUUACUGGGCGUAAAGGGCGCGUAGGCGGACAGUUUAGUCAGAGGUGAAAGCCCAGGGCUCAACCUUGGAAUAGCCUUUGAUACUGACUGUCUUGAGUUCGGGAGAGGUGAGUGGAAUGCCGAGUGUAGAGGUGAAAUUCGUAGAUAUUCGCAAGAACACCAGUGGCGAAGGCGGCUCACUGGCCCGGUACUGACGCUGAGGUGCGAAAGCGUGGGGAGCAAACAGG
rnacentral:rRNA from 1 species